rnacentral:rRNA from 1 species
UAGAGUUUGAUCAUGGCUCAGGAUGAACGCUAGCGACAGGCUUAACACAUGCAAGUCGAGGGGCAGCGGGGAGGUAGCAAUACUUCCGCCGGCGACCGGCGCACGGGUGAGUAACACGUAUGGAACCUGCCCGUAGCAGGGGGAUAAACGGAAGAAAUUCCGUCUAAUACCGCGUAAUAACUCCGAGAGGCAUCUCAUGGAGUUUAAAGGGUAACACCGGCUACGGAUGGCCAUGCGGCGCAUUAGCUAGUUGGCGGGGUAACGGCCCACCAAGGCGACGAUGCGUAGGGGUUCUGAGAGGAAGGUCCCCCACACUGGUACUGAGACACGGACCAGACUCCUACGGGAGGCAGCAGUGAGGAAUAUUGGUCAAUGGGCGCGAGCCUGAACCAGCCAAGUCGCGUGAGGGAAGACGGUCCUAUGGAUUGUAAACCUCUUUUGUCGGGGAGCAAAAGACGCCACGUGUGGCGUUCCGAGAGUACCCGAAGAAAAAGCAUCGGCUAACUCCGUGCCAGCAGCCGCGGUAAUACGGAGGAUGCGAGCGUUAUCCGGAUUUAUUGGGUUUAAAGGGUGCGUAGGCGGACGCUUAAGUCAGCGGUAAAAUUGCGGGGCUCAACCUCGUCGAGCCGUUGAAACUGGGUGCCUUGAGUGGGCGAGAAGUACGCGGAAUGCGUGGUGUAGCGGUGAAAUGCAUAGAUAUCACGCAGAACUCCGAUUGCGAAGGCAGCGUACCGGCGCCCAACUGACGCUGAAGCACGAAGGCGUGGGUAUCGAACAGGAUUAGAUACCCUGGUAGUCCACGCAGUAAACGAUGAAUGCUAGUUGUCCGGGGCGAUUGAGUUCUGGGUGACACAGCGAAAGCGUUAAGCAUUCCACCUGGGGA